GCUGGGUAUGGUGGCUCAUGCCUGUAAUCCUAACACUUUGGGAGGCCGAGGUGGGAGGAUCACUUGAGCUCAGGAGUUCGAGACCAGCCUGGGCAACAUAGUGAGACCCUAUCUCUA
rnacentral:SRP_RNA from 1 species